AUGGAAAUUCUUCAUGAUUUUGGCGCAGCCUCGGGGCUGCACAUCAACCCCUCAAAGUCGACGGCCCUACCCAUCAGAUGCGAUAAUAUAGACCUAGGGCACAUACUGCAAAAUUUCGGAGGAAUAGUAGGGAACUUCCCAACGACUUAUCUGGGUCUGCCGCUGAUGCUAGCCAGGCUGCGACUCGCGAACCUACAGUUCAUCAUAGAUAGGAUCAAAGCCCGCCUUGCGGGAUGGAAAGGGAAGCUGCUUCCAUUGGCUAGUAGACGUGUGCUG
rnacentral:rRNA from 1 species